rnacentral:rRNA from 1 species
GGGAAUGCACCCUUCGGUUCGGAAUAACUCAGGGAAACUUGAGCUAAUACCGGAUACGCCCUUUUGGGGAAAGGUUUACUGCCGAAGGAUCGGCCCGCGUCUGAUUAGCUUGUUGGUGGGGUAACGGCCUACCAAGGCGACGAUCAGUAGCUGGUCUGAGAGGAUGAUCAGCCACACUGGGACUGAGACACGGCCCAGACUCCUACGGGAGGCAGCAGUGGGGAAUAUUGGACAAUGGGCGCAAGCCUGAUCCAGCCAUGCCGCGUGAGUGAUGAAGGCCUUAGGGUUGUAAAGCUCUUUUGUCCGGGACGAUAAUGACGGUACCGGAAGAAUAAGCCCCGGCUAACUUCGUGCCAGCAGCCGCGGUAAUACGAAGGGGGCUAGCGUUGCUCGGAAUCACUGGGCGUAAAGGGCGCGUAGGCGGCCGAUUAAGUCGGGGGUGAAAGCCUGUGGCUCAACCACAGAAUUGCCUUCGAUACUGGUUGGCUUGAGACCGGAAGAGGACAGCGGAACUGCGAGU